AUCACACUUAAGUCCAGUUAACGAUUUAUUGAAAUAUUUGCUAAUAACCCCUUGUUAGUUAUAAACAAACAGUUUAGUCUGUUAUGCUAUAACCUUAGAGUUAUUUCUAUUUCAAUUAGGUCCUGAACUUAGUGUUAUGGUAAAACUUCUAUUUUUACCCUAGAUUUCACAUAUUCUUAUACGCUCAACGGUUCUGGAUCGACGCUCUGCGCGAUUUCAGAAUUUGAUUCUUCUUCUUCUGGCACGGCUGCAGCUCUGAUGUGCUCUACAUCCUCCCUUAAUGUGCUGAAGUUUACCGGAGUCGCAUCAUCGUCGCCCCCUUCAGAUUCAACAUUGUCCUCAAUGUUGAUGGACGGGUAUAUCUUCUUCACUUCUUCCUCGAAUUCCCAUGAAGAGUCUUCUGGAAUAGAACCAUUCCACAAUAUAAGUAUCUGAUUUCGUUUUCUCCCAUUCUGCCAAAUCUUUCUUCUGCCCAAUAUAGAUGUGGGAAAAAUAAUAGGUUUGUUUUCCACAGAUAUAAUUGGUUGCUGAUGGUUGAUGUCCUCUGAUAUCUUGCCACAGAAUUUCUUUAAUUUUGAAACAUGGAACGUAGGAUGUAUCUUGCUGCCCUGGGGUAAGUUAAGCUGGUAAGCUACUUCAUUUACCUUCUUAGAUAUUUCAUAUGGCCCAAAAUAUUUUUUGCAGAAUUUAUUGUGCAUUCUAUUAGCGAUAGAUUCCUGUCUAUAAGGUUUUAAUUCAACCAGUACCCACUCUCCUUCUUCAUAGCUUAUUUCUGACCUCUUUUUAUCUGCUUGAUUCUUCAUUCUUGUCUGGGCUAGCUUCAAAUUUUUCUUGAUGGAUUCGAGAAUAUCUUCCCUUAUUUGUAGUUCACUGUCUACUGCCUGGAUAGUUGAUUCCCCUUCUUUGUAGUGUGGAAUUUCUGAUGCUUCUUUCCCAUAUAGAACCUUAAAUGGUGUUGAUCCGAGUGAUGAAUGGAAACUUGAAUUAUACCAUAAUUCAGCCCAUGGCAGUAAUUUCAGCCAUUUUUUUGGAUUCUCAUGACAAUAGGAUCUAAGGUACAUUUCCAGAGUUCUGUUUACCACUUCAGAUUGGCCAUCUGAUUGUGGAUGAUAAGCUGAAGAAAAAUUCAGUUUGGUACCACUUAGAUUGUUCAGCUCCUUCCAAAACUUGGAUGUAAAGACUCUGUCUCUGUCGGAAACUAUUGAACUAGGGAUUCCAUGUAAUUUAACUAUAUCUUGAAUGAAUAUUUCAGCUACCUUGGAUGCAUUAAAAUUAUUUGGAAGGGCACUAAAAUGUGCAUAUUUCGAUAAUCUGUCUACAACCACCAUCACAACAGAUUUUCCUCUCACUCUAGGGAGAUCAGUGAUGAAGUCCAUACUGAUGUCUUGCCAUACAUUAGAGGGAAUUGGCAAGGGCAUUAAUAAACCAGCAACUUUGGUAUUUGUGGGUUUAAUCUGUUGGCAAACCACACAUUCCUUUACAUAUUUUUUUAUAUGACUCCCCAUAUCUGGCCAAAAAAAAUGUUUUGCGAUCCUUUUCCAUGUUCUGUGAAUUCCAGAAUGACCUCCCAGUUGAGAGUCAUGAAAUUCAUAUAAUAUCUUCUUAAUUAUUUGAGAAUUAGUAUUAAGGUAAUAUCUACCUUUGAAGAAUAAAAUACCAUUUCUGACCAUGAACCCACUUGAACCUUCUCUAUUGCCACUGUGUUUUUUGAUAAGCUCUUGGGUUUCUGAUUUUUUGUUGUUUUCCUCUUUAAUUUCUUCCAACAAUGAAUAGAUAGGCUUGGAAAUUGCUAGCAAUGAUCCUGGUGUUCCCACAGAAUUAGAGGAAAACAGAAUUUCUUCUUCUUCUUCAAACCUCCUAGAAAGAGCAUCCGCCACAAUGUUCUCUUUUCCUGGUUUAUAAAUAAUUGUAAAAUCAAAGCAUAGUAACUUACAGAGAAAUACUUGUUGUUCAGGUGUUUGAAUAAUCUGUGUAAGUAGAUUCUUUAAGCUUUUAUGGUCAGUCUUGAUCACAAAAUGAGAGCCCAAUAAAUAAUGUCUCCACUUACUCACUGCUUGAGUAAUGGCAUACAUUUCUUUUACAUAUAUUGAUGCUGCCAUGAUUCUUCCAGAUAGUUUGCAACUGAAGAAGCUUAUAGGGUGUGAUUUCUGGCUAAGGACAGCUCCCACACCAUUUCUACAUGCAUCUGUCUCUACAGUAAAUUCUAAGUUGAAAUCUGGAAAUUCUAGAACAGGGGCACUCACCAUGGCUGAUUUCAGUUUUUCGAAGAUGAGAGUUGCCUCAUCCCCCCAUUUGAAGCUAUCCUUUUUUAAAAGGUCUGUCAUAGGGGCUGCUAUUGAUGCAUAACCUUUGAUAAAUCUUCUGUAGUACCCUGUGAGCCCUAAAAAUCCUCUAAGCAUUUUCAAGGUUUUAGGUUUUGGCCACUCCACCAUGGCUUUAAUUUUUUCUGGAUCUGGAUGCACCCCAUCUACUGCAAUUAUGUGGCCUAGAAAAGUCAUAGAGUCUUUACCAAAAGAGCAUUUGGAUAAUUUAGCAAUAAGCUUGUUUUCUCUGAGUAGUUUGAAUACAACUCUAAUAUGUUCAAUGUGGUCUUUGAUAGAAGCACUAUAGAUUAAUAUGUCGUCAAAGAAUACUAUGACAAAUUUCCUCAAAUACUCAGAAAAGACUGAAUUCAUAACUGAUUGAAAAGUGGCAGGGGCAUUUGUCAACCCAAAAGGCAUCACAAGGAAUUCAAAGUGUCCUUGAUGUGUUCUGAAUGCUGUUCUUUCUGUAUGAUUUGGGUCCACUCUGAUCUGAUGAAAUCCAGAUCUCAGAUCUAAUUUAGAAUAAAUGGCUGACCCUUUUAAUUCUCCCAAUAACUCAUCAACAGUAGGAAUUGGGUAUUUGUCUUUGAUUGUUAGAGCAUUUAAGGCUCUAUAAUCAACACAUAACCUAUAUCCUCCAUCUUUCUUCUUUACUAAUAAAACUGGGGAUGAGUAAGGGCUUGAACUAGGUUUUAUGAUCCCUUGUUUUAACAUUUCAGAAAUUAGCCUCUCAAUUUCAGAUUUCUGAAAUUGUGGAUAUCUGUAAGGCCUCACAUUAAUGGGCUGAGCUGUUGGUUCUAAGUGAAUUGAGUGAUCUUUCUGUCUUUCAGGUGGCAACCCACUUGGUUCUUCAAACAGAUCACUGAAUUCUCUCACCACUGAGUUAAUUUCUGGAAUUUUGUUGUUCAAUGUUGCUGGUGAGUCAUUGCUCUCAACUCUGUCCAUGUAGCAUAAAUAAGCCUCUUCAGUGGAUGCUAUUAGGCAUUUAAGUUGGCCUACAGUAAGAGGAUCUUCAGAAACCCAAGGUACUCCCGUCCAUGUAAUUUUUUUUCCAGAUAGGGUGAAUUCCAUGAUUGAUUUUUCAAAAUCAAAUGUGACCGGCCCAAAUGAUUUUAAAGCCUGUACUCCUACCACCAUGUUAGAACCUGCCAUGUGAAUUAAGAAGAUAUCCAUUAUUAUUGUGAUAUCUUGGAUUUUGACUUCUACUCCUUUGCACAUUUUGUUGCAAACUAAUUUUUCUCCACUUCCAGUUGAAACAUGGAAUGGUACUAUCAUUUGUAUAGUUAAUUUCAGAGCUACCGCAACAUCAACUUGCAUAAAGUUGUGGCUAGAUCCCGAGUCAAUUAGCACACUCACAGAUUGACAUUUGAUGAAGCCCAUCACUCUGAUAGUGCUUGAACUGAUGUUGCCUUCAAAAGCAUGUAGCGAAAUUUCUGUUCUGCCUCUGAGUACAGUAUCCACUACCAUUUCUUCAUCAUCGAUGUUUUCUGUUUCCUCUUGGUCUUCUAUUUCCACUAAUUCUACUUCGUCAGCAGAUAAUCUGAACAACUUUCCUUUUCUUCCAACACAAACAUUAUUAUGAUUAGCACUGAAUUUCUCAUCACAAUUGAAGCAGAGCCCUUUGCUUCUUCUCUCAGCUCUUUCUGCAACUGAUAGUCUUUUGGCUGUUGGUAGGAUUUCAGUUGUGAUGCUUGACUGCCCUGCUGGGUUUGUAUCAUUACCCUUAUUGUGUUGUGGGACAGAAUUUGAUGUUAAUUUAUUCUGUUUGGGUAUGUAAGAUUUGUAUGUGGAUUUACCUCCUUUUCUUGCUUCUAUCAUCAAUGACAUUUCGAAUGCUUCAUGUAUAUCAUUAGGUUUCCCUAAGAUAACAUCAGACUGAAUAUCUUCUUUUAAUCCUGAAAUAUACAUUUCUAAGAUAAAAUAUUCAGGUAGCCCAAGAACUCUAGUACACAUUUCUUCAAAUUGGCAUUGAUAAUCAGCCACUGAACCUUCUUGAAUUAAUUUGCUCAGCUUGCCUCCGGGUAGUUGAUAGUGUAAAGAUGUAAAUUUUCUUAUUACUGCUCUCACGAAAUUAGGCCAGUUAGAUAGCAUGUUGCUUGCUUCAAGCCAUGCGAACCAUUUUCUCGCCAACCCAUCAACAUGAAAUGAUACUAUUAGGAGCUUUUGAUCUUCGGGAACUUUAUUAAAUAUAAAAUAUCUUCUUACAGCAUAUAACCAGUGUUCUGCAUCUUUGCCAUCGAAUCUAGGCAUAUUUACUUUGAUAUGUUUUGCUGGGGUAUAAUUAGGAUCAUCCAUCACAGCAACUGCAUAGCUAGGCUUGUCUAAAUUUGCUACUGAUUGGUAGUAGCCUUGGGAUUGCUCUACUAUCUCUGUAUUGUCUGGUGUUUUUUUUGGUAUAUUCCCCAUAGUUACUUCAGAUACUUUUGUGCAUAAUUCUGACACUUGUUUGCUCAAUUCUAAAAAGUUGUUAUUUACUGAUGUUCUGAGUUCUCCCAUGUCUUUGAUCUGACUCAUCUGCAGGGAUUGCAAUCGGAUGAAGUCUGGAUGGGAAGCUAGAUCUAUUUGAUUUGUCAUCUGAAAAUAAGAGUUCAAAGUUUAUGAAAGCACCAAUGAUACCGAUUUGAUCGGAUCAGACCAAAUGAAUUGAAUUCACCUGAUGUUUAUGGGUGCUUCAGAUCCGUGAUUUGAGAAUCACGG
rnacentral:lncRNA from 1 species